rnacentral:rRNA from 1 species
AGAGCGAACGCUGGCGGCAGGCCUAACACAUGCAAGUCGAGCGGCCGUAGCAAUACGGCAGCGGCAGACGGGAUAGUAACACGUGGGAACGCGCCCCUCGGUUCGGAAUAACUCAGGGAAACUUGAGCUAAUACCGGAUACGCCCUUACGGGGAAAGAUUUAUUGCCGAAGGAACGGCCCGCGUCCGAUUAGCUAGUUGGUGAGGUAAUGGCUCACCAAGGCUCCGAUCGGUAGCUGGUCUGAGAGGAUGACCAGCAUCACUGGGACUGAGACACGGCCCAGACUCCUACGGGAGGCAGCAGUGGGGAAUAUUGGACAAUGGGCGCAAGCCUGAUCCAGCCAUGCCGCGUGGAUGAUGAAGGCCUUAGGGUUGUAAAGUCCUUUUAACGGGGAAGAUAAUGACGGUACCCGUAGAAUAAGCCCGGCUAACUUCGCGCCAGCAGCCGC